rnacentral:rRNA from 1 species
GCAGCCGCCGCGGUAAUACGAAGGGGGCUAGCGUUGUUCGGAUUUACUGGGCGUAAAGCGCACGUAGGCGGACUUUUAAGUCAGGGGUGAAAUCCCGGGGCUCAACCCCGGAACUGCCUUUGAUACUGGAAGUCUUGAGUAUGGUAGAGGUGAGUGGAAUUCCGAGUGUAGAGGUGAAAUUCGUAGAUAUUCGGAGGAACACCAGUGGCGAAGGCGGCUCACUGGACCAUUACUGACGCUGAGGUGCGAAAGCGUGGGGAGCAAACAGGAUUAGAGACCCGCGUAGUCCCUGUCUCUUAUAC